CGGAGCUUGCUCCACCGGAAAAAGAGGAGUGGCGAACGGGUGAGUAACACGUGGGUAACCUGCCCAUCAGAAGGGGAUAACACUUGGAAACAGGUGCUAAUACCGUAUAACAAUCGAAACCGCAUGGUUUUGAUUUGAAAGGCGCUUUCGGGUGUCGCUGAUGGAUGGACCCGCGGUGCAUUAGCUAGUUGGUGAGGUAACGGCUCACCAAGGCCACGAUGCAUAGCCGACCUGAGAGGGUGAUCGGCCACAUUGGGACUGAGACACGGCCCAAACUCCUACGGGAGGCAGCAGUAGGGAAUCUUCGGCAAUGGACGAAAGUCUGACCGAGCAACGCCGCGUGAGUGAAGAAGGUUUUCGGAUCGUAAAACUCUGUUGUUAGAGAAGAACAAGGAUGAGAGUAACUGUUCAUCCCUUGACGGUAUCUAACCAGAAAGCCACGGCUAACUACGUGCCAGCAGCCGCGGUAAUACGUAGGUGGCAAGCGUUGUCCGGAUUUAUUGGGCGUAAAGCGAGCGCAGGCGGUUUCUUAAGUCUGAUGUGAAAGCCCCCGGCUCAACCGGGGAGGGUCAUUGGAAACUGGGAGACUUGAGUGCAGAAGAGGAGAGUGGAAUUCCAUGUGUAGCGGUGAAAUGCGUAGAUAUAUGGAGGAACACCAGUGGCGAAGGCGGCUCUCUGGUCUGUAACUGACGCUGAGGCUCGAAAGCGUGGGGAGCAAACAGGAUUAGAUACCCUGGUAGUCCACGCCGUAAACGAUGAGUGCUAAGUGUUGGAGGGUUUCCGCCCUUCAGUGCUGCAGCUAACGCAUUAAGCACUCCGCCUGGGGAGUACGACCGCAAGGUUGAAACUCAAAGGAAUUGACGGGGGCCCGCACAAGCGGUGGAGCAUGUGGUUUAAUUCGAAGCAACGCGAAGAACCUUACCAGGUCUUGACAUCCUUUGACCACUCUAGAGAUAGAGCUUCCCCUUCGGGGGCAAAGUGACAGGUGGUGCAUGGUUGUCGUCAGCUCGUGUCGUGAGAUGUUGGGUUAAGUCCCGCAACGAGCGCAACCCUUAUUGUUAGUUGCCAUCAUUCAGUUGGGCACUCUAGCAAGACUGCCGGUGACAAACCGGAGGAAGGUGGGGAUGACGUCAAAUCAUCAUGCCCCUUAUGACCUGGGCUACACACGUGCUACAAUGGGAAGUACAACGAGUCGCGAAGUCGCGAGGCUAAGCUAAUCUCUUAAAGCUUCUCUCAGUUCGGAUUGCAGGCUGCAACUCGCCUGCAUGAAGCCGGAAUCGCUAGUAAUCGCGGAUCAGCACGCCGCGGUGAAUACGUUCCCGGGCCUUGUACACACCGCCCGUCACACCACGAGAGUUUGUAACACCCGAAGUCGGUGAGGUAACCUUUUGGAGCCAGCCGCCUAAGGUGGGAUAGAUGAUUGGGGUGAGGGCUAAAAAGGGAAAAAAACAAAACCUUUUCUAUCAUGACCGAGCAAAUGCGAUCGUGAUACAGUUUUAGCACCUGCUACCAAUUGUUAUCCCCUUCUCAUGGUGCAGGUCACCCACCUGUUACUCACGCGUUCGCGACUCCUCUUUUUCCGUUGAAUCAACCUCCUGUA
rnacentral:rRNA from 1 species